CUUUAUUAUUAUUAUUAUAUUAUUUUGAGAAGCAGGGGUAAAUACCAAAUCGAGAAUGACCAUUGUCGAAGUAAGGAACCUUGAACUAGACCAAAAAAGUGAAAGAGAAGAAUUGGUCGGACACAACGAAGAAGAUUAAUGAGCAGUUGAUGGGACUCUUGCAUUGCUUUUGUAAUCCUCCGAAACUCCUUGUGAUGAGGAUUUUCCAGACGUCGAGGAACCCAGGAAGAAGAUUCAUAACCUGUGUUAGGCGUUUGGUGAACAAGAGUUGUAAUUAUUUUGAAUGGGUUGACUGCUUGUUUUGUGAAUGCGGAAUGGCGGUGUUGCUAUAAUUAGAGAGGAUAAUUUCUUCAAUUUAUGUAGCUUCCAGAUUAUGGACGGGUAAUGAGCAACAUCAAAGCUAUGGUGCUAAUAGAGCAAAUGCGAGGGAAGGUGAGACCAGUGGUGAUAGGAGAGUUAACGAGGAGCAUGUGGUUGAGCACUCAUGGGCUUACAACUUGAAUAAAAUCAUACUUUAUGUAGAUGCAAUUUGUUCUCUGUAUUGGUUGAUAAUGUGACUUUGGUCUGUGAUUUUGUGAAAUUAUUAAUGAAACAUGGUUUAACAAUUUCGUUUACGAA